GACGAACGCUGGCGGCGUGCUUAACACAUGCAAGUCGAACGGAAAGGCCCUGCUUUUGUGGGGUGCUCGAGUGGCGAACGGGUGAGUAACACGCGAGUAACCUGCCCUUGACUUUGGGAUAACUUCAGGAAACUGGGGCUAAUACCGGAUAGGAGCUCCUGCUGCAUGGUGGGGGUUGGAGAGUUUCGGCGGUUGGGGAUGGACUCGCGGCUUAUCAGCUAGUUGGUGGGGUAGUGGAUGACCAAGGCUUUGACGGGUAGCCGGCAUGGGAGGGUGACCGGGCACAUUAGGACUGAGAUACGGCCCAGACUCCUACGGGAGGCAGCAGUGGGGAGUAUUGCACAAUGGGCGGAAGCCUGAUGCAGCAACGCCGCGUGCGGGAUAACGGCCUUCGGGGUGUAAACCGCUUUCGCCUGUGACGAAGCGUGAGUGACGGUAAUGAGUAAAGAAGCACCGGCUAACUACGUG
rnacentral:rRNA from 1 species